GUGGUGGUCAGCAGGGGGCCACUGCAGAGGUGAGUGGAGGUGGCGGGGAGGUCUGCAGUGGCAGAGCAACUACAGGGAACCACCAGAAAAUUGAGACCAGAUUCACUACUCUGCUAUCAGGUAGAAGACUCCAAAUAGCAAGAAGAAUACUUUGGUUGAAUGACUGGUUAUGCAGAAGGUGUUGACAAGAGAUAACCCGACUUCUAGGACUGCAGUCUGGGCUUUCUUAAUAAAGGACUACUGGCAGCAGCAGGAGAUGGGCAGCACCUCACAAGAACUGUGAAAAAUCUGUUUGGCAGAAGAAUGAUGAACCUGAUCAAGGUGGUUUUAAACUAAAACCUUGGGGAACAAAAAUAAAACUCUGAGGGGAUUUUAAUUUAGGAGAUGAGAAAACAUAUGAGCAGUCUGAAGGCAAUGCUGAUGCAGUUUUAUGAACGACCACCACAAUCUCCUACCAAGACUGAAGAGCAGAUAGGAUCUACAUUUUGAUACUGCCUAAGUGUCUCCAAAGGAUCUCAGUGCUGAACUCUUUGUUAAUGAUAUCCUUUACCAGGGGCCCAAAUGAACCUCAGAAGAAGUGACUUGUGAAAUAAUUACACUUUGAAGCUGUUCUUAUGAGCAGCCAAGUCUGGGCUAAGGCAGCCAAGACCAUGGACUUGGCUGCCCAUGAGAACCACCUGGAUCUACGAGGAUCCCAGCAGCACAUCAGCAGCAAACCUGCCUAUGGGGCCCACUGGUUAGCUGAUGUUAAAGGCAUGAGCACACCCUUAACUUGGGCUAGCUGCUUGUGUGCAAGUGCUGGCUGCUCCCAGUCAGCACUGGCACAGGAGCAGGCAACUGGCUAUCACCGGGGGUGGGGGUUCCCCACAAUGCAACACAUACUCAGUGCAUUGCGAGCUUUCUGGGGCCUGGGACAAUGUGUCCUAAUCCCUGAACCUCUACGCUGCUUGGGGCAGCAGCAGACCAUCUGGGCACUCAAUCCAUGUGCCCAAAUGGACCUUGGAGAUCAUCUGUGGGGAAGAUGGGCUUCUGCAGCCUUCCCAGCCACCCUCCUGCCUCUUGGCCUUCCUGGUCAUGAGAAUGACCUCUUUAUGGGGAAAGUGGCCAGGGCCAGGUUAUUAACCGAAACGCCAAAACACUUUCUUAAUGCAGAGUUUUUUGAACAAAGGAAAGGUACAAAGAUGCUGGCAAAGCAGAGGUCAUACAGAAGGCCAAGACUUGAGAGUUUGUCUUCAUGGAAUAAUGGCUUUUUAGCAAAUUAUUUUUCACAACCUAUGAAGCUAAAAUGUAUUAGGAUUUAGUGACAUGGGAUUACGACAGGGAUAAAUGUAUUAGGAUAUAUGGGCCCCAUGCAGUUCAAGGUCCAUUUGUUCCAAAAAUGAAUCCACACCCCCUACUACCCUUAGAAUUAGAGAAGAUGGAGCCAUAGCUCAGAGGAAGAGCAUCUGCUUUGUAUGCGGAACAUCCCAGGUUCAAUGGCAUCUGCACGUAGGGUUGAGAAAGACUCCUGUCAAAAACCAGGAGGGCUGCCGCUAAUCAGUAUAGAUAAUAAUGAACUUGAUGUACCAAUGGAUUGACUCAGUGUAAGAUAGCUUCAUAUGUUCCUGUCCUCUGGAAAAAAUGAGUCACAGUUAACUACUAUUAGGAUUUACAACCAUUAUUCAAUUGCAGCUUUACUUGUAAGAAUUGAGAUGCUACAAAAACAC